GACGAACGCUGGCGGCGUGCCUAAUACAUGCAAGUAGAACGCUGAAGGAGGAGCUUGCUCUUCUGGAUGAGUUGCGAACGGGUGAGUAACGCGUAGGUAACCUGCCUGGUAGCGGGGGACAACUAUUGGAAACGAUAGCUAAUACCGCAUAACAGUAGAUGUUGCAUGACAUUUGCUUAAAAGGUGCAAUUGCAUCACUACCAGAUGGACCUGCGUUGUAUUAGCUAGUUGGUGGGGUAACGGCUCACCAAGGCGACGAUACAUAGCCGACCUGAGAGGGGGAUCGGCCACACUGGGACUGAGACACGGCCCAGACUCCUACGGGAGGCAGCAGUAGGGAAUCUUCGGCAAUGGACGGAAGUCUGACCGAGCAACGCCGCGUGAGUGAAGAAGGUUUUUGGAUCGUAAAGCUCUGUUGUAAGAGAAGAACGAGUGUGAGAGUGGAAAGUUCACACUGUGACGGUAUCUUACCAGAAAGGGACGGCUAACUACGUG
rnacentral:rRNA from 1 species